rfam:Agrilus planipennis Contig26422, whole genome shotgun sequence.
GCCUUCCUUGUCAAGGGGAGCAGAGUGCGUCAAUGAACGUAUAGUGAGACCACUUAUGCUGACACCCUGUAUAUAUAUCCGCACCCACAUCAUUAGUGACUGAGUGCAAUUUUUGGAAUG